rnacentral:rRNA from 1 species
UGAGGAAUAUUGCUCAAUGGGGGAAACCCUGAAGCAGCAACGCCGCGUGAGGGAUGAAGGGGCUCUGCCUUGUAAACCUCUGUAGUUGGGGACAAAUGUGUGGUUACUACCGCAUUGAUGGUACCCAAAAAGUAAGGAUCGGCUAACUACGUGCCAGCAGCCGCGGUAAUACGUAGGAUCCGAGCGUUGUCCGGAUUUACUGGGUGUAAAGGGUGCGCAGGCGGAAUGGUAAGUCAGAGGUGAAAUCUCGUCGCUUAACGACGAAACUGCCUUUGAUACUAUCAUUCUUGAGUCCGGUAGAGAUCUGUGGAAUUCCGAGUGUAGCAGUGAAAUGUGUAGAUAUUCGGAAGAACACCAGUGGCGAAGGCAGCAGAUUGGGCCGGUACUGACGCUCAGGCACGAAAGCAUGGGGAUCAAAC